rnacentral:lncRNA from 1 species
GCGAGAGCUACUGGCAUUUAGUGGGCAGGAGCCAGGCACGCUAGGAUGUUCUAUGAUGCUGGUCAGUCCCACAGAGCGAAUAAUUGAAUCACUGGACACAUGUCGGUGAAAAACUAGUUCAUUAUCAUCUAAGCCUAGAACUAACACUGUUUUACAUAUGAACACAAAGUAUCUUUGCCCAGUUUCCAUAUAUCCUGAAUUUUCCACAAAUGCAGGUACUGUUUCAAUUGAAGGAAGAUUGUACUGUUUUAUUUAAAAAUUAUUAAUAGUUCAUCAUUUUGGAAAAUGAGGUUCCUAGUAGCAAUGCUGCUCAUGGAACUUGAGUUGUGAAAUCAACACACCUUUCCAGUUUGCAUUUGUGGCUCUACUGGGCAAGUGUCUUCCCACCAGUUAGUGUAGCUGUGCGGCGGCAUUUACAUAUUAUAAUACAUUGUUUUAUUAUAAUCAUUUUGCUUUCGUUUGUUGACAGAUCAUGUUUUUUGAAAUUGUGUUUGUAGGUUUACAUAAACAAUUUAGGUUUUGUUAUUUCAGUAUAGGUAAAGGGGGCGUUAGAAAAUACUCGUUAUGAAAAGGAGUUGGGUCUUUCACAGGGUUAUGGAAUGUAGCAGACUCCUUUUAUAGAUGAGCAAAUUGAGACCCAAAGCCGUUAAACAACUUGCCCCCGACAGUGUGAUAUUCUCUCCCUAUCUCGUUCGAAUUUCCGUCUCGAUUUUAAAAAUUGAGAAGGGAGAGAAGUUAUGUGUAUAGUAAAUUAUGUGAUGAGCACGAACUAUUUGAAUUCUGGCAGCAGAAGACCUUUUGUGGGGGUGGUGGAAACCACUGCGUUUUAUUUAAUUUCGUAGGGCUGAGGGUCAGAAGAGAGGGGAAAGCGGUCAUAAGAAACUACGGAUGUGCGGGCGCCGGCUCAAAGCCGGGAAUCCACUAGUAAACACCUUCUUCUAUUUAAGGGCCUGCGGCACCGAAGCCGGGACUUGGGGUGGCCUGCCUAGGAGGGAACCACAGGAAGAGGUUCCACCGACGGUAGAAACCCGGUUCCUCCUGUUCCUCAUCCACCGCAGCGGCCUGAGAGUCACCCCGAGCCCAGGCCGGUAACCCCGCUGCAGCCCCUCCGGCAGGCCCAGGUUGCACCGGCUACAAACAUUCCCGACACCCUUGGGCCCUAGAAGAGCCGUUCGCCACCCGCGGGGUCCCCGCAACGCCGGUGGUCACCGGCCCUAAGCCGCUGGGCGCCCCGCGGGAGGAAACUAGGGGCAAAUGUAGCCCGCAUUCCUGCGGAGAGCCGGGGUCCCGGGAGGGCGCGCCAGCGGCGGUUCCGGAUCAGCGCGUGUCUGUCUCAUUGUUCCCUCACCGCGGGGGGCGGGGGCGGAGGCGCGCGCGCACACGUCGGGGGGUUGGCCAGGAGGGGCCAUUGUGUGUUUCUAGGCGGCGCCCCCGCUGCCUAGGCAACCGCGCAGGAAGGUGUCCGGCCACCUGCGCGCGCCGCCGGCUCCCCUCCAUUUCCCCCCGACUCCCGCCCCGGUCACCA